GGUCAGAGUUGGAUUGUUC
rnacentral:snRNA from 1 species